rnacentral:rRNA from 1 species
UCCUACGGGACGCAGCAGUGGGGAAUAUUGCACAAUGGGGGAAACCCUGAUGCAGCAACGCCGCGUGAGUGAAGAAGUAUUUCGGUAUGUAAAGCUCUAUCAGCAGGGAAGAAGAUGACGGUACCUGAGUAAGAAGCCCCGGCUAACUACGUGCCAGCAGCCGCGGUAAUACGUAGGGGGCAAGCGUUAUCCGGAUUUACUGGGUGUAAAGGGAGCGUAGACGGUGAGACAAGUCUGAAGUGAAAGCCCGGGGCUCAACCCCGGGACUGCUUUGGAAACUGCCUGACUGGAGUGCUGGAGAGGCA